GUCUUCUAAAGUGUAGCCGCUGAGUUCAAACAGUUCAAUCAGUUUAUUCUUAAAACAAAAAUUUUCGAAUUUGCUUGAAUAAUUACAAUCAAAUUUUUUUUUUGCAUGUUCUGUUAUAGUUCACCAUACCAGUUUUUUGAUCAGAUCAAAAAGCAAAUUCUUGCAGGCCGAAAACGAACACCAUAUUUGGUCUUUGUACGGACAAUAUAUUUUAGUCAAAAAAAUAUUUUAUAAGUUAUAUCCACAUAGAAGUCGGAAUCACUGCAGAAGUGGAGAAGCUUUUUCGUCAGUGCCGUCGGAGAUCGUGUGUAACUCGAAAAAUAUUAAACCGCAAUUUUUUUUAGUACCCAAAAAUCGUAUUUUUUUAAAGACGUCACACUAGGUGUGCCCCUUAAUUCAAUUGGAUCCUCGAUUAAUUAUAUAUGUAUGUUAGUACAUUUUAGACUGACCAUUAGGCGUAUCAACUUUAAUAAAACAUGAAUUAAUUACCCAUUUGCAGGCAAUUAAAAUGAUAAAUUGGCGUUAUGCAAACGUCUGAAUUCGAAACAA